rnacentral:pre_miRNA from 2 species
UGACUACAGCCACUACUACAAGACUAUCCAGGACCUGCGGGACAAGAUUCUUGGUGCCACCAUUGAGAACUCCAGGAUUGUCCUGGAGAUCGACAACGCCCGUCUGGCUGCAGAUG